GGUGAGAUGCCCGAGUGGCCAAAGGGAGCAGACUGUAAAUCUGCCGGCUCAGGCCUACGGAGGUUCGAAUCCUCCUCUCACCA
rnacentral:tRNA from 1 species